CUCGUAGUUGCAAAGAACAGAUAAAGCUAGAAGUGAUCUACAUUAUCUUACAAAAAAGCCAGAUUACUCUGACCACAUGGAAUUACAGUAUCACACAAGCCAACAGCCACUCUGCGAAGCAUCAUUUCAAAACCAAAGGAACAACUCAAGAACGAAGAUAGAAUGAAGGUGAUCUACAAAAUCAACUGCAACAAAUACUACGUUGGCCAAAACAGAAGAAAAUGAUCAGCUCAGCUCCAUGAACACAAGCUGGCCAUCAGGAGGCAUGACCUAUUGUCCAUGAUAUCCAUACACCAGAAUCAAGAAGGACAUACAUUCAAUAUGGACAAUGCAAAAAUCUUAUCCCAGGCAGAUACAAAACAUUCGAGGGAGUUCCUUGAAGCCUGGUGCUCUUCAGUGAAUUCCAUAAACAAACAUAUUGAUCUGGACCCCAUCUAUGAGCCAAUACGAUGCAAGGACCAAUGAGGGCCUAACCAGUAUCGAACUGGUUCUGGUUUGAAACCGGCAACCGACCAGUCGGAAAUCAGAAGAACCGCUCACGCGCAAGGUCACGUGUAACCAACCAUUCAUGUCCAAGCUUCAGGCAAUCCCACCCAUCAAACUACAUAUAAAGGAGGAAGCGUCCAACACAAAUCAUACAACUUGAACACUGAUGAUGUUCCCUCGACUGGUGAUGAACCGGUUGCAACCUAAAUGCCAACCUCGACGAACAACCGAACACCUCAACUAUCAACGCGAGCAACGAAGACGACCAAUACUCUCUAUGAUCUUCAACUAAUUCAUAUUCUUGCAAUAUUAACAUUGGACACAACAAGGACAUCCUGAGUGCCAAUAAUAUCCAAGAAAAGCAGCCACCAUUACGGUUAGAUCCUCUUGUAGGAGACCAGAGUGCUACAUGUUUUU